GAUGAAGAACGUAGCGAAAUGCGAUAAGUAAUGUGAAUUGCAGAAUUCAGUGAAUCAUCGAAUCUUUGAACGCACAUUGCGCCCCCUGGUAUUCCGGGGGCAUGCCUGUUCGAGCGCCAUUUCACCACUCAAGCCUCGCUUGGUAUUGGGCAACGCGGUCCGCCGCGUGCCUCAAAUCGACCGGCUGGGUCUUCUGUCCCCUAAGCGUUGUGGAAACUUUCGCUAAAGGGUGUUCGGGAGGCUACGCCGUAAAACAACCCCAUUUCUAAGGUUGACCUCGGAUCAGGUAGGGAUACCCGCUGAACUUAAGCAUAUCAAUAAGCGGAGGA
rnacentral:misc_RNA from 1 species